AUACGUAGGGGGCGAGCGUUAUCCGGAAUUACUGGGCGUAAAGAGUGCGUAGGCGGCUGAUUAAGCGCGGAGUUUAACGUCACGGCUUAACCGUAAUUUGCUCUGCGAACUGGUCAGCUUGAGUACGGGAGAGGAAGGCGGAAUUCCUAGUGUAGCGGUUAAAUGCGCAGAUAUUAGGAGGAACACCGGUGGCGAAGGCGGCCUUCUGGACCGAAACUGACGCUGAGGCACGAAAGCGUGGGUAGCAAACAGGAUUAGAUACCCUGGUAGUCCACGCCGUAAACGAUGAGCACUAGGUGUCGGGCUCGAGAGAGUUCGGUGCCGCAGCUAACGCAAUAAGUGCUCCGCCUGGGGAGUACGCACGCAAGUGUAAAACUCAAAUGAAUUGGCGGGG
rnacentral:rRNA from 1 species